GACGUAGGAGGCGAGCGUUGUCCGGAUUCAUUGGGCGUAAAGAGCGCGCAGGCGGCUUGGUAAGUCGGAUGUGAAAUCCCGAGGCUCAACCUCGGGUCUGCAUCCGAUACUGCCCGGCUAGAGGUAGGUAGGGGAGAUCGGAAUUCCUGGUGUGAGCGGUGAAAUGCGCAGAUAUCAGGAGGAACACCGGUGGCGAAGGCGGAUCUCUGGGCCUUACCUGACGCUCAGGCGCGAAAGCUAGGGGAGCGAACUGG
rnacentral:rRNA from 1 species